GGCGGCGUACCCAAGUGGUUAAUGGAGCAGUCUGCAAAACUGCCAUUCAGCGGUUCGAAUCCGCUCGCCGCCUCCA
rnacentral:tRNA from 1 species